CAAAGACUAGGAACAGGGUAUUCCUAGGGUUAUGGCCGAAAGAAGAAAAGCAAAGGGGUUUGCCGCAUGAGAGAACAUGGAGAAGACCAAGGGUUGAAUGGAAAGCGAUGGCGAUCUUCCAUGGAGAAGACGGUGACAAUCUCUCAUUGAUUGUGGAGGGAUCGAUUUCAUUUGCCAAAAUAUCUCUAUCUCUCUCUUUGUUCAGAGUGAAUAAAGCUUCCAUGGUUUCGAUGGAUUAGUAACCUCGUGCAAGAUGUUAGAUGAGAUCUUCCACCUUGAGAAUGGGCACUCUAACCUCGCGCAACACUGUAUUGUUUAAAAUCCUGCUGCACGAGUAUCGCACCCCCCUCCAGUCACUAGUUUGAAAUUGAUCCUUUAAAGUCAAUGGUUCACCAUUAUAUGAUGCAGAGGCUUAGAAGAUGCUAGGAUGUGAAAGGGUUUCAGCUUUUAGGAUGCAAGAGAUGUUAGCAAGAAAUCAUGUAUUUAUAAGCAAAUCUUGAUUCCUAUAAUGGUUGAAGUAUCGUUAUAUAUGAUAGAGCUUUGAAUUUUGAGGUAUUUGAAGAAAAAUUUAAUGUAAGUUUUGGAAUUAUAUAUCACUUAAUCAAGUGUGGUUUAGGGGGGUUAACUCAAAUUCACUCAAACUCAUCUAAAAUGCCGAGCUAGAUCAUUAUAAUAUUUGACUAGCAAGAUAUUUAGCUAGCUAAUUGUAGGGUCAAGUAAUCAAUGAUGGCUAUGGCUUGUUCUUUUAACCCUUCUUUUCCUUCAUCUAUUCAAGAAAAUUUGUACGUGAUGGUACCUUAUAUAUUCAAACUGUUUGUGGAAGCGCUAGAAAAUUGGUUAGGCCUUUUCUUUUUUCUUUUUCUUUUUUGCAGCAAACAAGUUUACUUGCAUUAUGUGUAAUAUAGUUUGCAAUUACUUGAAGUAUUUUGUGGCUUCUUGUUUUGGUUCUGGAAUGCCUUUUAGAUGUUGAGUCAGACAAUAGCUAAUUAAUUUAGCACUUGUCUUAAUUUUUCUUUUGUAUGAUAGAAAGCAGGACGAACAUUUGAACUGUCAAGAUUUUAGUUGCCUAUAAUCAACAUUUCUUCACUCAAGGUCAUCUUUGAAAAGCAACGAACUUCUGGAUCACCUUCAGUUGUAAGUUGAAAAUUGCUAGAGCCUAAAACAAAGAGGCUUAAUUUGAAUUUAUUAGAAAUAAACUUAUUUGGAUUGCUUUGUAGUUCUAAUAAUACUUCUCAAGUUUCAACUAAACCUUGAGAGCAGCAUGAAGUUGUAUGACUCACAAAAUGGGAAGCAUGUGAUAACUUGGAUGCUUCUGAACUUAUGAUUUGGUGUGUUUACUGUGGCCACGUAUUUGCAAUCCUGAUGCAUUUUUCUUUUUCAAGUAUUCAAGGUACAAAUAACAAUGUUAUUAUCAAUCUCAUUUUGAAGAACUCAGUCUUUCUCUGUAGAACUCAAGCUUGCAGUCAAAGGUAGCCUGGAUCACUAGGACGUGAAGAGUGAAGACCAUGAUGCAAAAACAAUUGAUUCCUGGGGAAUUUUCGUCAAGUUUAUAGUGGUGUUUGUAUUUUUUUUGAGUUUUAUAGCUACCAUUGCUUCUUCUUCUUCUUCUUCUUCUUUUUCAUUUUAGGAAGAAGUGUUGGCUUAGAACUCUUCAUGAAAAGAAUUUUUUUCUUCUUAGGUUUAGUUUGAAGAAUUUGCAGGGCAAUGGUAUCUUUUAUUAGAAGGAUGUUGUUUUUGGCAGAAGACCAUGUAACAUCUUUUAUGAACUCUUAUAUGUUGUUUAUUGUGUUUAACACAAAUUAUAUACGUUUGAAGACAAUAUCUUGUUAUGAAAUUUUCUUUCUUACCAUUAAA